UAUUGGUGCAGAUAGGAAACUAGGCUGUAUACCUGUGUAGUCGAACUUACGUUUAAGCGACAUGUAAUGUUGCCGACCAUGGGGGCCACAGAAGUGGCUUUUUUUAUGA
rnacentral:sRNA from 12 species